rnacentral:lncRNA from 10 species
UGCACAUAUAAACUAUCAUAUAUAAUACAUCUGCACAUAUAAACUGUGUAUCAUAUAUAAUACAUCUGCACAUAUAAACUAUCAUAUAUAAUACAUCUGCACAUAUAAACUGUAUCAUAUAUAAUACAUCUGCACAUAUAAACUGUGUGUAUCAUAUAUAAUACAUCUGCACAUAUAAACUGUGUGUAUCAUAUAUAUCCGCACAUAUAAACUGUGUGUGUAUCAUAUAUAUCUGCACAUAUAAACUGUGUGUGUAUCAUAUAUAAUACAUCUGCACACAUGCUUCUCUGUAUUGAAAACCAAAUUGUCACGGACCACUCCCAUUCUCACGCAGCAUUUAGGGCUGUGGCUAGCCUUUCCCAGCUGUAAGAAACCUGUCUUUCAGCAUGAUAAACACAUUUACUUAUUUGCUCAGUCCUCUAAUAUGCAGAAAGUAGUUUUAGAAUUGCCAAAACCAUACAACUUGGAAAAACAAGCAUGAUUACUUCAAGAUGUGUUUGUAGCUCCUUCU